ACUCAAAGGAAUAGACGGGGGCCCGCACAAGCGGUGGAGCAUGUGGUUUAAUUCGAUGCAACGCGCAGAACCUUACCAGCCCUUGACAUGGGGCGUAUGGUCCCGGGCGACCGGGGUCUUCAGUUCGGCUGGCGCCCACACAGGUGCUGCAUGGCUGUCGUCAGCUCGUGUCGUGAGAUGUUGGGUUAAGUCCCGCAACGAGCGCAACCCUCGUCCGCAGUUGCCAUCGGGUAGCGCCGGGCACUCUGCGGAAACCGCCGGUGACAAGCCGGAGGAAGGCGGGGAUGACGUCAAGUCCUCAUGGCCCUUAUGGGCUGGGCUACACACGUGCUACAAUGGCGGUGACAGCGGGCAGCGAUGGGGCGACCCGGAGCUAAUCCCGAAAAGCCGUCUCAGUUCGGAUUGCACUCUGCAACUCGAGUGCAUGAAGGCGGAAUCGCUAGUAAUCGCGGAUCAGCACGCCGCGGUGAAUACGUUCCCGGGCCUUGUACACACCGCCCGU
rnacentral:rRNA from 1 species